rnacentral:rRNA from 1 species
ACGGAAGGCAGCAGUGGGGAAUAUUGGGCAAUGGGCGCAAGCCUGACCCAGCAACGCCGCGUGAAGGAAGAAGGCUUUCGGGUUGUAAACUUCUUUUGUCAGGGAAGAGUAGAAGGCGGUACCUGACGAAUAAGCCACGGCUAACUACGUGCCAGCAGCCGCGGUAAUACGUAGGUGGCAAGCGUUGUCCGGAUUUACUGGGUGUAAAGGGCGUGCAGCCGGGUCUGCAAGUCAGAUGUGAAAUCCACGGGCUCAACUCGUGAACUGCAUUUGAAACUGUAGAUCUUGAGUGCUGGAGAGGUAAUCGGAAUUCCUUGUGUAGCGGUGAAAUGCGUAGAUAUAAGGAAGAACACCAGUGGCGAAGGCGGAUUACUGGACAGUAACUGACGGUGAGGCGCGAAAGAGGGGGGAGCAAACAG